AGCGUAGGCGGACCGCCAAGCGUUCUGUGCAAUCCCCGGGGCCCCAACCCCCGGACCCGCAGAGCGAACUGGCGGCCUUGAGUAGUCCAGAGGCCGGCGGAAUUCCUGGUGUAGCGGUGGAAUGCGUAGAUAUCAGGAAGAACACCGAUGGCGAAGGCAGUCGGCUGGGGACUUACUGACGCUGAGGCUCGAAAGCGCGGGUAGCAAACA
rnacentral:rRNA from 1 species